UGGGGAAUAUUGCACAAUGGACGGAAGUUUGAUGCAGCGACGCCGCGUGGAGGGUGUAGGCCUUCGGGUUGUGAACUCCUUUUUCUCGCGAAAAAGGCACAGUUUUGGCUGUGUUGAUGGUAGUGGGGGAAGAAGCGCCGGCUAACUACGUGCCAGCAGCCGCGGUAAUACGUAGGGUGCGAGCGUUGUCCGGAAUUAUUGGGCGUAAAGAGCUUGUAGGCGGUUUGUCGCGUCGAUAGUGCAAACUCAGUGCUUAACGCUGAGCCUGCUGUUGAUACGGGCAGACUAGAGGAAGGUAGGGGAGAAUGGAAUUCCCGGUGGAGCGGUGGAAUGCGCAGAUAUCGGGAGGAACACCGGUGGCGAAGGCGGUUCUCUGGGCCUUUCCUGACGCUGAGAAGCGAAAGCGUGGGGAGCGAACAGG
rnacentral:rRNA from 1 species